GCACUCGCCUCGGCAGCACAUAUACUGAAAUUGGAACGAUACCGAGAAGAUUAGCAUUGCCCUGCGCGAGGAUGACACACGUAUUUGUGAGGCAUUCCAUGGUUCU
ensembl:snRNA U6 U6 spliceosomal RNA